rnacentral:rRNA from 1 species
AUACGUAGGUGGCGAGCGUUAUCCGGAUUUACUGGGUGUAAAGGGCGCGUAGGCGGGAAUGCAAGUCAGGUGUGAAAUCUAGGGGCUCAACCCCUAAACUGCACUUGAAACUGCGUUUCUUGAGUGUCGGAGAGGUUGACGGAAUUCCUAGUGUAGCGGUGAAAUGCGUAGAUAUUAGGAGGAACACCAGUGGCGAAGGCGGUCAACUGGACGACAACUGACGCUGAGGCGCGAAAGCGUGGGGAGCAAACAGGAUUAGAUGCCCAGGUAGUCCACGCUGUAAACGAUGAAUACUAGGUGUGGGGGGACUGACCCCCUCCGUGCCGCAGUUAACACAAUAAGUAUUCCGCCUGGGGAGUACGGCCGCAAGGUUGAAACUCAAAUGAAUUGACGGUG